rnacentral:misc_RNA from 1 species
GGAGAAAUACAUCUGCCGCGAACUGCUCCGGCAAUUCAAAGAGGCCUUUUCGGGGGCACCUGCGAAGUGUGUGGCAGACUUGCAGCUAGCCUGCUUCUUCAAGAAUGGCGCCAUCCUGGUGUUCCCCCACAGCCCGUAUGGCACACUUUUGAGUCUGGUGGUCCAGUGCCAGAAGCAAGGCUGUGGCUGCAUCCCCGAGUGCCUGGAGCUCUACUUGCACCACCCUGCAAUGGGUGCAUGUGUGUGGCAUCAUCCACGCAGAUAUGAAUCCUGACAACGUCCUCAUCAUCGACUUAUGCUGCCGUGGUUCCUCAUCCGAAUGUCGGAGAGGGACAAUGGAUGCCUCUUUUUCGUCGUCGAUGCGCAACUUUGCAGAAAUGCAAGCUUGGAGUGCGCAUUUUCCGGACUUGCUGCCACGGGUGUGACAUCACCAGUGACCAGUCUACAAAAGGAGCAACGCGAGAACAUCGGCUUCAGAGGGCAUGGCACUUGGCUGACAGGCAUAAUGCCUAAAACGCCGUUACUGCUGUUGCAGAUGCUGCCGUGGUUCCUCGUCAGAAUGUCGGAGAGGGACAAUGGAUGCCUCUUUUUCAUCGUCAAUGCGCAACUUUGCAGAAAUGCAAGCUUGGAGUGCGCAUUUUCCGGACUUGCUGCCACGGGUGUGACAUCACCAGCGACCAGUCUACAAAAGGAGCAACGCGAGAACAUCGGCUUCAGAGGGCAUGGCACUUGGCUGACAGGCAUAAUGCCUAAAACGCCGUUACUGCUGUUGCAGUAUUCCGUGCAGCCCAUGCAAGGCAGGCUUCCUCGACCGGUUUACUGAGCAGGGGGCCAGCUGCCUGCAGUUAAUUGACUUUGGACGUGCCGUCGACAUGAGCCAGCUGCCGCCGGGCACGACAUUUACCUAUGUGGUGAAAACAGAUGGCUUCGUCUGCACCGAGAUGUGCAACAGUCGCCCAUGGACCCUCCAGACUGACUGGUUUGACCUUCAGGGCUGUCUGCACGUGCUCUUGUUUGGAGACUGCAUGGAGGUCGAGAAGAUGCCCAACAGCACUUGGAGCAUCCGGCGCAAGUUCAAAAGGUACUGGCAACAGGACCUGUGGAAUCGCCUCUUUUCGACCCUCCUCAGCAUUCCGAGCUGCUCGGAGCUGCCAGACAUCACAUCGAUUGCAUUAUAGAUCCAGAGCCUGUUGCGGAACAGGUGACAGGCCCACGAUGUGGUCGUGGAAGCUCUGCGGACCAAGAACAUAUAAUUUUAUUUAUUAAAGCGAAGCUUUCUUGUCCCACUGAUUCGUACAUGAGCGCCGAAAACGCACUGCAGGAAAAGCAACUUACACAAUGGAACUAU